rnacentral:lncRNA from 1 species
GUGAAAGACGGAUAAUGCUUUUUUUUUUUUUUUGGAGAAAGAGAAAGAUAUAUAGUAUGAUAUCUAUUUUGUUUAUUUCUUUUAAAAAACUUAGUUGAAAUUACGAAGCAAUUAGAUUUCGAACUUAAAAUCUCGGAUACCAAUCAUCAAAUUUUUUACCAUUUGCACUAAAGACAGACUAUGUUGUAAGAAUAAGUAGGCCAAAAAUAAAUAAUAACAUUUGAUUAAAUCUUUCUUGAUCGUAUAUAGGAGUAUAAAAAAAAAAAAAAAUUU